rnacentral:misc_RNA from 1 species
GAUGAAGAACGUAGCGAAAUGCGAUACGUAAUGUGAAUUGCAGAAUUCAGUGAAUCAUCGAGUCUUUGAACGCACAUUGCGCCCCCUGGUAUUCCGGGGGGCAUGCCUGUCCGAGCGUCAUUGCUGCCCUCAAGCACGGCUUGUGUGUUGGGCCCCCGUCCUCCUCCCGGGGGACGGGCCCGAAAGGCAGCGGCGGCACCGCGUCCGGUCCUCGAGCGUAUGGGGCUUCGUCACCCGCUCUUGUAGGCCCGGCCGGCGCUUGCCGACACAUCAAUCUUUUUUCCAGGUUGACCUCGGAUCAGGUAGGGAUACCCGCUGAACUUAAGCAUAUCAAUAACGGAGGA